rnacentral:rRNA from 1 species
GACAGAGGGUGCAAACGUUGUGCGGAAUUACUGGGCGUAAAGCGCGUGUAGGCGGCCCUGCAAGUCGGAUGUGAAAUCCCACGGCUCAACCGUGGAAGUGCAUUCGAAACUGCAGGGCUAGAGUCCUGGAGAGGAAGGUGGAAUGCUUGGUGUAGAGGUGAAAUUCGUAGAUAUCAAGCGGAACACCGGUGGCGAAGGCGGCCUUCUGGACAGUGACUGACGCUGAGACGCGAAAGCGUGGGGAGCAAACAGG